GGCCGCGUGGCCUAAUGGCUAAGGCGCUAGAUUUCGGUUCCCCAUUUCGACCGUACUCUCUAGAGAUUCCAGGUUCGACUCCUGGCGUGGUCG